rnacentral:rRNA from 1 species
AUGAACGCUGGCGGCGUGCCUAACACAUGCAAGUGACGAAGCACAAGACAGAAUCUCGGAGGAAGAUUGAUUGACUGAGUGGCGGACGGGUGAGUAACGCGUGGGUAACCUGCCUUGUACAGGGGGAUAACAGUUAGAAAUGACUGCUAAUACCGCAUAAGCGCACAGUGCUGCAUGGUACAGUGUGAAAAACUCCGGUGGUACAAGAUGGACCCGCGUCUGAUUAGCCAGUUGGCAGGGUAACGGCCUACCAAAGCAACGAUCAGUAGCCGACUUGAGAGAGUGAUCGGCCACAUUGGGACUGAGACACGGCCCAGACUCCUACGGGAGGCAGCAGUGGGGGAUAUUGCACAAUGGAGGAAACUCUGAUGCAGCAACGCCCGCGUGAGUGAUGAAGUAGUUCGCUACGUAAAGCUCUAUCAGUAGGGAAGAUAAUGACGGUACCUACACAAGAAGCUCCGGCUAAAUACGUGCCAGCAGCAGC